rnacentral:tRNA from 1 species
GCCCGCCUAGCUCAAUCGGAUAGAGCGUCAGACUCUUACGUAAGCAAGGCAUCUGAAGGCUGCGAGUUCGACCCUCGCGGUGGGCU